UCACAGAUGGAGCAUGUCAGCUGCACACAGUAAAGCAGAGCAGUGCUGCAGGCCUGUGAGACACAGCCCUCAAGGAGGAGUCGCCCAACAUCUGAAUUAACUACAGCUCUCACUACCAUACUUUACGGGUGGAUGCAUAGCCACGGCAAGCUAUUAUGGCUACAAUGCACAACUAGCAGAGGAUGCAGAACAUCUGUCAGGAACGGCUGUAAGAAGAAUUGCUAGGACGGGCAGAUGCCUCAAAAACCCUUUCAGAGGCUAGAAGUGCAAGAAGCUGGUUGAGCUCCCUGGGCAAACCUCUCUUCAUUGUGAUUUGACAUCUCCUUGGGCUGGAAUUUACCACUUACAAAAGCAGAACAGAGGUUGUCAGAAGAAUGAAUUCCUGUACUCAUAUCAUUUCAAAUAAAGAGACAUCCUACCGUGACAAGAUGUGAGCUCUGAAAUGCUAUCAACUUCUGCAUGAAAAAAACCAAAGCCAAGUCCAGCCACAAAUGCACGAAACAGCUGAGAAAUUUCUCUCAACGUGUGAAACUAUCAGUAUAAUUAGAACAUACUUUUCUGCAAAUAUAUGCAGAGGUUUUUAAAGCAGCCUGAGCAGUUUCUAUAGAGCGUAAUGAAAACUGAGCACCCAAUUUACUUACAAGGCGAUAACAAUAUUAACACUGUUUAUGUAGAAGCAUAAUUAAAAAUCUUACAGAGGCAUAUGCUGUUCAAAUUACUGAACAAUAGAAAAUUUUACCAAAUUUUUAGAUGCUGUAUUUAAUUUGUUCUUAACAUUCAUAUAUAUUACUUCUCCACACCAGAAAUGCACUCUUUUGUAAAGAAAAUCCAAGCAGGGUUUUACCUAACAAGGACUGGCAAACAACAAAACUAGUUCUACGUUGAAGAGAUCCAUAAAUAUCUUCAGGGAAACAAACCUAUAAUCUUUGUGAGAUCCAUAGUAACAUGUCCAUCUCAUGGCAUGUUACACAGGAAAAGAAAUCAGUCAUUUACAAGUUAAUAUUCUCCUGUAACAUACAGUUAGGAAAUCAGCAUUUUAAAGGUUAACCUGAUUAGAAAAUUAAUAUCCCAUUGAAAUGAUGUCAUUUAAUUGUAAAUAGCUGAUUAAUUUUCUACCUACAAUACAGCAGGACCCAUUUUCAUAUUGUUCCAUACACAUCACUGAUUUGGUGAGAUUCCUCACUGAAUUUGCCUUGUGAGAGAUUUUGUUCCACUUUUCUGUCUGAAGAGAUUGACAUAAUUCAGACUUUGUUUUCUGUCCUGGAAAGUCUCGAUCAAGCUGUAGCAGCUUAGUUGUUGCCUGAGAAAGGUCAUUGUCUCUCCCAUCAUGCUGAAAUUAAAGACAGUUGGGUUUUGUUUUUUUAAGAGGACAGACGGAAUAAAACAAAAGCCAAAUUAUUCAGUUUUUGAAAUACUUAUGUGUUACUGUACACUUCGGAUUACGCCAUUUUCACAAUACAACAGUAAAAGGCAUCAAAUAAAUUUGUUAUGUUUAUGGCAUUACACUGACUGGUUUCUGUCCUCCAACACAAAAGCGACACCAUUCCAUCUAGUGUCAGACUUCAGUGGAUCUCUCUGUGCUUGCAGGGAGUAACUACAUGUAUUUUCCAGGUAGAGGUUAAGGCAGGGUUCUGCAUGAUGCAGAGUAUCCUAAACUCUUACUAAAUUUCUGUGGAAAAUAAUGAGGAAAAAUUGUGCUGAAUAAUUCACAUUCACUGUGCAAACAGCCUAAGAACUGUGAAAUACCAGAGGAAAUUGUUGGUCCUUCAGGCUAAAUGAUUGUUUAGUAGGAUAAACUGCAGCAUAUGCGUACACACAUUUUGUAAGAAAAAUGGCAGGCCUCCGUGAGCACAUUCUAGUUGUGAUAAGAAGUUAGAUCACGCAGCAACGGGCAGGUUAAAACUUUCUAGUCAUACACCAUGGAUGGAAAGGCCAAGGACAUGCUGUGUUUCUUUUGUUUCAGUAAAAGGUUAGAAAACCACAGUCAUGUGUUCAGACCAGAUAUUACAAUUUAUUUCCUUCCAUUCAGAAGUCCUUGACUUCUUUGCUAAAUGCUCUAUGCUAAAUGUUCAAUUCUUGGCAUAUUAGGGGUUCCAAUUUUUGAGUGAAAUAUUGGAAAUUAAAACAGAAUACGCUCAGUAUUAUUUCAGAGUUUUUUUCCUUAGCCUUUAGUCAGUUCUUUUGAUUUUCAUCUCUUAUUCUAUGUAUACUUAAUUUUUAGGGCAAUCUUGCAAUUUAAAACUACAAAGUAGGAAAUGUCAGUGUUACUACAGCACACAACAGUGAGAAGAUGUUACUUGUUUUGUACAUUUUAUAGACAGGGACUUCAGUUUAGUCUGCAGUUUCAUGCAGUGGGGUACUGGCUCUAUCGGUCAAAAGGUACUAGAACAAUACAAAACAAUAUAAAAAAUAACACUAAGCGAAAUUAUGCAAUUAUAUCAUUAGAGAACAAUAUUACAUUCACUAGACCUUACCUCUUAACAGUAAAGCAAUACUUUUAACUCAAUUUUCUGCUGGCACUUGAGUAAGAGGAAAUGUGUGACUCUCUGCCUAAAGCAUCCCAAAAACUCAUGAAGGAAGUCUGUAGAGGGAAUAUAUUAAGUACGAGAAUUUCACCCACUUCAAAGUAAGUUGCAUUUAUUGAAAGUUGCAUGUGUUUCCUUCUAAGGCUCCCUACUCUUAUCACGUAGGUUAAAGGAAAAGACGUUACCUUGUUUUGUAAAUUAGAUACAAGAUCCAUCAACAAAGCUUGAACACUCUUUGCAGUUCAAUAUUUUCCAUGUCCGCAUUGCCCGACAUAGCUUUCAGUUCAUCUGUUCAACUGCGCUUUGUUGCAACGUCUAAGUCAAGACACUUGCUUCCUUUCUCCAAAGUAUCAACCUGUUAUUGUACAAGAGAUGAAGUAACAAAUUUAUCUCCAUCAUUUGCCACCUACUACACACCUACACAUGUAUCUCCCUACAAGCUCCUUUAAUACUUUCCAAUUCUAUAUUGGAAUUGAUAAAUAUUGAUAUGAGGGGAGACAUACUGCCUGCCAGGUGAGCUUUGGGAACACCAGGAGGUUACCACUGGUGAUGUCUAUACCGUCACUAGAAUAUCCAAUAUCAGAAACGCUUGGAAGCACAGAAUGUUCCUGGGUCUUUCUGUCUCCCUCCUGCACAGGGGUCUUGGAUGUUGCCUGAAGGUUGUAAAAGAUUUUUUCCUCUCAUAUGUUCUGAAGAUAUGUGAACCCAAUGGGUCAUAUGAGAGAUCGACUUAGCACAAUAUGUAUUUAAAAAUGUGCUUUUUCCCUUACACUUCCCAGCCUCCAACCACUUCUAAUUCAGGGACAUGAAUCUCAGUGGAUUUCUCUUCCAUGAACAUAUUUGGUCUCCACAGACCCACAAAUUUUAGAGCCCUCUAAGAGACAUCCUUUGGCAGGGAGCUCCACAGAUAAAUAACCUGGUACUUGAAGUCCUCAUUUCUUUUGAAGCGGGUUCCCACUACCUUCACUUGAACUGAAAAGUCCAAUAUAUUUUUACCGACCAUGGAAAAGAAAUGCUCUGUCUGAUAUUCUUCAAUACAUAGAAGACCACUAUGAGCCUGAUUUCAUUGAAGAGUUUGGUGUUGAAAGACACCAGGGAUAGGGAUCCAAUUGGAUUUAACUGCCCUCUUAACCCACUCCUGUUAGAAAAGAAUCAGACUUCUCAUCUUGGGGAAAAAAGUGACAGUGGUUUUGGAAAGCCAAGUUAGUCUCAAAUAACCUUUUCCGUGUUUUCUUGGAAGUUCGGCUACAAAACCUCUUGGUAUCUCUUGAUCUCAUGCUGAACAUAAUCUUCACGACCCUUCGCUGGGAGAAGCUGACUAAUGCUGGAAGAGUGAGCUGAGUAAUUGCCUUCCUUGAGUGCCCUUUCCUGAAAUACAUUAUAAAGCCCAACUACUUUAAAAGAAAUGAAAACACAAUUAGAGAGGGUCAGCAUCUUCCACUUACAGCUGAAAGAAAACAUAUUUCACAGUCCCACAGGCUGUUCAAAGUGGCAACAGGACUGGGCUGCUGUAAAUAUGUUUGGUGCGAACCUUCUGACAGAAAAAUACCAUAAGAAAUAUAACUGAUCAGAAUGUGCUUCAUUUAUGAUUGUCAUUUUAAAUUAGUAAGUAUAGAUGAACAACUAGCUGCCUUAAAAACACUUUAGUUACUCUCACUAAAAAAAUGAAGAUAAAACUCAGAGCCAGAA